CNGGCGAUACGGGCACGACUAGAGUGCUGUAGGGGUAACUGGAAUUCCUGGUGUAGCGGUGAAAUGCGCAGAUNUCAGGAGGAACACCGAUGGCGAAGGCAGGUUACUGGGCAGUUACUGACGCUGAGGAGCGAAAGCAUGGGGAGCGAACAGGAUUAGAUACCNUGGUAGUCCAUGCUGUAAACGGUGGGCGCUAGGUGUGGGCUGUGUGUUUGCAGUCUGUGCCGUAGCUAACGCAUUAAGCGCCCCGCCUGGGGAGUACGGCCGCAAGGCUAAAACUCAAAGGAAUUGACGGGGGCCCGCACAAGCGGCGGAGCAUGUGGAUUAAUUCGAUGCAACGCGAAGAACCUUACCUGGGUUUGACAUGCACCAGAUCGGCGUAGAGAUACGUCCUCCCUUGUGGUUGGUGCACAGGUGGUGCAUGGUUGUCGUCAGCUCGUGUCGUGAGAUGUUGGGUUAAGUCCCGCAANNAANNNNNNNCCUUGUCUUAUGUUGCCAGCACAACUUUGGUGGGGACUCAUGAGAAACUGCCGGGGUCAACUCGGAGGAAGGUGGGGAUGACGUCAAAUCAUCAUGCCCUUUAUACCCAGGGCUUCACACAUGCUACAAUGGUCGGUACAACGGGUUGCGACACUGUGAAGUGAAGCUAAUCUCUCAAAGCCGGCCUCAGUUCGGAUUGGGGUCUGCAACUCGACCCCAUGAAGUCGGAGUCGCCAGUAAUCGCAGAUCAGCAACGCUGCGGUGAAUACGUUCCCGGGCCUUGUACAC
rnacentral:rRNA from 1 species